AAUGUUUUUAAACAGCAGUUUGACUAAGAUAAUCUAAUUGAGAGAGUAUGUAAAUUUUCCAAAAUAGCAUAAUGGCCUAAUAAGGUUUUACUGAUUAUAGAUCUCAAAGAUAUGCUUAGAAGAAAAUUUUGUUACUUGGGGUAUAAAAACAUGAAGGUAACUGAAAUAUUCACCAUUGAAUAGAAGCUUAUUCUAUAGAGAUUACAGCUUAUUUAUGUAUGUAUGCUCAUGAAUGUAAUUCAUACUGAAAUAUUCCAACACUAAAGUGCAUUCUGUAGAAUUUUCAAUGGGUAAAUGAAUUAGCUUUCCAUUACAGAAGUAUGCAUAUUCCUUGAGUUUUUCUACCCACAGUGUUAUGAGUUACAAAGUAUUACACAUGAGUAAGGACAUUUUUAUUGUUAUGUAAUAUCACUGCUACAAUAUGGGUCAUUUCAUAGUUCUAUUUGAAGUUUUGAAAAAUGUGAUAGAAAGAAAAACAUAUGCAUACUUUUGAAUUGUUACAUGACAAAAUGUAGAAGGAAUGAAUGGUUUAUGUGACUAGAAUAUUGUCUGGAAGACUAUAUGGAUUUUUAUUCUUCAUGUAGAGAUGAGAUUAGAAAGACUGCUUCUGUCUGCAUUUGAAUUUUUAUAAAAACACUUACAAAUGAACACUUAAAAAAGGAAAUAUGACAGAGACAAUCACUUUGUACUUGUUUACAUCCUUGCCUAUCAACACCAUGGGAACAUUUGGUUGUGUUAUCCAACUUUAUAUUCCUAGCAGUAUGAUGAGUGAUUUUGUGAAGACCAUUCAACAUAGAAACUUUUGCAUCAAAAUUUUACAGUGGAGAAAACAGUGUUGAUUACUUCAAGAAAGAAAGGAACAAUGAAAUUUCAGAUGACCAUUAGAAAGCCAUAUUUGAAGCUGCCUUGGGGGCAGCUGGUGAAGUCAUCAGGAACACUCCCUUUGAGUACCUUCAUAAUUUACGUGUCUUCACUAUAAACCAUAGAAAUUUCUAAAGAUAUUCAACAUGGAGAUCCACUUACCUGCUAUAUUUGCUCUUUCUUCUGUGAGGUGAUUACUGGAAAGGAUCUUAUGCCAUUUUUUCUACUAAUUGCUUCACUAAAAUAAAAAAUGGUUUUCAUAAUGCUCAGGGAGUUCUCACUAAACAUGUGUGGCAAAGAACGGUCCUUGCGGAUCAGAAACCCUGGAUUCAGAAAGCCCAUUUUGGAAGGAAACCUAAAGGAUACCUUUGAAGGAAAUACUGUUAAUAAUAAUUGUUGAUGAACUAAAUCACAAGAGCUGGUUUAUGGAGACAUUAGUACACAGAUGACUUCAAUUGGUGGAAUUAACAGUGCAUCCUUAAAAUGCUCCCUGUCUAAUUCACAUGUAAUAUUUCCAUCCAGUUUAAUAGAUUAAUUAGGAGUGAUUACAUUUUUUAAUGUUGAGUCUUCUUAUCCAGCUGCAAGAGAUGUUGCACAUUUCUUCAUGUAGCCAUUUUUACCUCUUCAUUUGAGAAGUCUUCAGCUCCUUUGCCAAUUUAUAAAUUAGGCCUCUUUCCAAACAAAGGACCAAAGACACUUUUCUUGAAGGUAGAGGCCUUUUGGACAAGUGCAUUACCUAUACCUUCUGCAGUGGUUUAAUCCAUAUCACCCAAGUAUUGCCAUCAUUUAUCCUUUCUGGGAUCUUGCUGCAUCUGUGUCUCACUCCUUUUAUAGAAGACUGCCUAGAAAUAGAAAGUGACCUGCUUUUCGGCAAGUAAUUGCCUAGAAUUUUGAAUACAUAACAAAUGUUCUCAUUAUAUCUUAUGCUUCCCUCUAUGGUUGUAUAUUUGCUGCUUCAUUUUGUUCACAUUUUGCUUUGCUAAUGUAAAAGUGGUUUGUGUGAGCAGUGUAUUUAGUAAAAUUCUUUGGUGACCUUUGUUAUACAGUAAACAAUAAUAAGGCAUUCUACAUAGGUGAAUGAUUAGUGUGUGCCAGUUUUGUAAAAUACUUUCCCCUUUGUUUGUGUCAGAAAGUCCAGAGUUUUAGGCAAGACCUAAAAUUAUUUUAAAUAUUUCCUAUCUGGUGUAUACCCUCUAGUUUACCCUUUUGUUGAAUAUAUAUGGGUCUCAUUCUUGGUCAGAAAUAGACUGACUGUGCUUUGCCUCUUUUCCAAUGCUAAAACCUAAGAUUAAGAUGUCAUCACAACUUUGAAUGUUUAACAGAGAGCCAGAUAUUUAUCUCGACAUUUACAGCCAUGGUGAUGUCAUCUUAUAGAAAAUGUAGUCCCAUCAAUUUCUUGGUAGUGAUCUCUUCUUUGGAUGGAAUAAAAAUCUCAGUACCAAAGUUAUGUUAGUUUGUUCUACAUCAUCUCAACUUUAAUUUGGGUUCUACUUAACCUAAGUGUAGUUAAUAUAAAGUUCUGUUUAUUUGAAGUUUUAACUAUCUAUUUAUAGAUUAUAAACUGUUUUGUCCAUCAGGGAACUAUUGCCUUCAUUGCUACUCAAAGAGGCAAGUUUAUACAAGUAGAGCAUUCAUUAACAUUGCCUCAUCUUAUUUUAGUGUUAGCAAAAAAAGCAAUUGCUAGGAUUUUAAGAUUGUAAUACUCCCUUUCUUUUAAAGUCUGUUUUAGCCACAGAAUAUUUAAUGAUUUAAAUUAUUAAAUAUAUGCUGCUAUCCAUUUCACCUUUCUCAUUAUAAUUCAUUUCUUUUAACUAGAUACUGAAGUAUAAUCUGUGUUCUUUAUAUAGUACCCAUUUUAUAUACAGUGAAAUUUCCUUUUAAAAUGUUAGUAUUCUAACCAUAUACUUUUAUUUUACUAAAAUAUUAUUUUGUUUUUUGGUAGGGAUAACCUAACUUUGUUUUUAAGGAAUGAGGCCUUAAAAGACCAUACAGGUGCAAAUAGUCAACUCUGCCAUCAAACUGUGAAAUCAGCUAUGAUUAAUCCUUAAACAAAUGUAUAUAACUGUGUUCUAGUGAAAUUUAACUGACACAAAACAGCUAAUAGGCCAGAUUUGGAACAAAGUCUAUAGUUUUCUUAUCCUUGGCCUAUGGUAUAAGUUCCAUUUUAUCAUAUGAAAGUCAGGUCAAUAGAAAAAUCAAAAGGGAGAAAAAUAAUUUCUUCUUGUGUCAGUUUUCUGAAUCCUCAAACUUGUAAUAUGGAGUUAAUAAUGGAAGGAAUGUAUUUUAGGCUUUUGUCUUGGCUCCUAAAUCUCAAUUUUCUAUAUAUCUUCCCCUGAUACCCACCUUUGCAUUUAGGCUAAUAGUACAUUUGAAAAUGGCCAUAAAAUUAAUGAAGAAUUAAAUGAUAGAAAUCAGUCUUUGAUCUUUAUUUGUUUUCCAUCUUCCAAGUGUGACAAAUGUUAAAAGUUAAUCUCAUAUCUUAUAUAUUUAAUGUUGUCUAAGGUUCUAUAAAUUUAUGUGAAAUUCUGAAUGAUUGUUAUGGGAAAUGUAAUCUUGUAACAUUUUAUUUUCUUUAAUAUGUGAUGAUAUAUUUCCAGGCCAGUAAAUACAUAUUACUUUUAAUUGGAAAUAAAGUUCACAUGAUGAUA